AGUGCGGGCUCUGGGUCCACCUCCCAUCCGUGUCUAUCUGUACCCUGUUGCUUCGGCGUGGCCACGGCCCGCCGAAGACUAACAUUUGAACACUGUCUGAAGUUUGCAGUCUGAGUUUUUAGUUAAACAAUAAUUAAAACUUUCAACAACGGAUCUCUUGGUUCCGGCAUCGAUGAAGAACGCAGCGAAAUGCGAUAAUUAAUGUGAAUUGCAGAAUUCAGUGAAUCAUCGAGUCUUUGAACGCACAUUGCGCCCCCUGGUAUUCCGGGGGGCAUGCCUGUCCGAGCGUCAUUGCUGCCCUCAAGCACGGCUUGUGUGUUGGGCUUCCGUCCCUGGUAACGGGGACGGGCCCAAAAGGCAGUGGCGGCACCAUGUCUGGUCCUCGAGCGUAUGGGGCUUUGUCACCCGCUCCCGUAGGUCCAGCUGGCAGCUAGCCUCGCAACCAAUCUUUUUAACCAGGUUGACCUCGGAUCAGGUAGGGAUACCCGCUGAACUUAAGCAUAUCAAUAAGCGGAGGA
rnacentral:rRNA from 1 species